rnacentral:lncRNA from 1 species
AUUUCAAGAAUAAUGUUAUCUAUACACCUCAAAGAUUUAUUUAGGUGUAAGUUUUACAUCCUACUUGCAAAUGGUUAGAAUUAUUCCACUGGUCUUAGCAUUUUUUUAGCUUAGAACUAAAAAAAAAUUUCAAAAUCCUAAGAUGGAAAUGUUGAGAAAUCACAACCAGCUCCAAUACCAGUUGUAAAUUCGAUACUCUGUCUCGAUACUGAUUGUUGGAAUUCCAUAAUAAAAACGUACAAUCAAAUAUUUAUUAUUGUUGGCACAAAAAAAAUAGUGCCACGUGGUAGAUG